UACGUAGGGGGCAAGCGUUGUCCGGAUUUAUUGGGCGUAAAGAGCGUGUAGGCGGUUUGGUAGGUCCGUUGUGAGAACUCGAGGCUCAACCUCGAGACGCCGAUGGAAACCAUCAGACUAGAGUCCGGAAGAGGAGAGUGGAAUUCCUGGUGUAGCGGUGAAAUGCGCAGAUAUCAGGAAGAACACCAAUGGCGAAAGCAGCUCUCUGGGACGGUACUGACGCUGAGACGCGAAAGCGUGGGGAGCGAACAGG
rnacentral:rRNA from 1 species